GAUGAAGAACGCAGCGAAAUGCGAUAAGUAGUGUGAAUUGCAGAAUUCAGUGAAUCAUCGAAUCUUUGAACGCACAUUGCGCCCCUUGGUAUUCCAUGGGGCAUGCCUGUUCGAGCGUCAUUUGUACCCUCAAGCUUUGCUUGGUGUUGGGUGUUUGUCCUCUCCUUUGCGUUUGGACUCGCCUUAAAGCAAUUGGCAGCCAGUGUUUUGGUAUUGAAGCGCAGCACAAUUUGCGAUUCUAACCGACUACACUUGCGUCCAUAAGCCUUUUUUAACUUUUGACCUCGGAUCAGGUAGGGAUACCCGCUGAACUUAAGCAUACCAAUAAGCGGAGGA
rnacentral:misc_RNA from 1 species